rnacentral:misc_RNA from 1 species
AAUCCAACCUCUGCCAGCGAGUAGCUCUCAAGUCAGACUUUCACUUAAUAAACCAAUGUGGGGGCCAGUGAGAUCAUCUCGAGCAGUGCCUACUCCGACUUAUCCAUAAAGGAUCUGGUCCCAAGGAGUCAAGUUUCAGCCGCGUCUACCUGUCUUGUCCAUAACCAAUACCAUACACCACAUGCACGCCAACACAUGCAUAUUGCUUCAAAAUACUGUAAAAUAACAUCUAUAAAUAUUUCAUCAACCAAAGAUGCAACAUAAAACGUGUCUAGUAUUUAACUACAUAAAUAUAUUUAUAGAUGAUGCAUAGGCAUGCCUUGAAUAUAUAAUAAUAU